GAGUUACCAGGAAUCUUCCCCUAGUAAAGUGGCACUGUCAGUGUGGUACCAGCAUUGCACACAUGACAUGAUACUGCUGUAGCCUACAAGUGGCGGUUUACUUGGAUUACUCUAAAGGAGACAGAAGAGGACACAUCCAAUCUCUGCCGAUCAGGAGGCUUUCCCUCUUCAACAUGUGACCUAGCCCAUAUUUGGCUCAAUUUAAGCAUUCAGCAUAAACAAGGGUUUGAACAGACUGAUGCCACUUGACCAUGAAGAAGACUUAGCACCAACAUGGGGAGAAGGCUUUGGAUUGAAUAUUUGGAGACUGGAGUCAGAAGCCAACCAAGAAACUAUUUUAAUAGCUUAGUAAAAACUGAUGGACCUUUGCAUCUUCUUCUGCUUGUUCCACUGUCCUCAGUGUCAUAGCUCUCUACUCUAACAUGACGGUGGCUGCAGCCUUGACCUUCCUCUCCCAAUUCCAGCAACAUUGUGGGCUUUUGGCCACUUGCCUUUCAGUGUCCUGGUAUGUGGAGUGAUCAGGCAUCCUCCAAGGAUAAGAAUUCAGUUGCGUGACACAAUUGAUUUCUGAUUGUGUUUCAAAUGGGAUUUUCUCCUGAUAUUGUGUUUCAAUGAUUUAUAUUAAAUAUGAUUAUUGAUGUUGCUGGGUUUAAAUAUACAA